rnacentral:rRNA from 1 species
AAAGGAAUAGACGGGACCCCGCACAAGCAGCGGAGCGCGACGUUUAAUUCGUCGAUACACGAAAAACCUUACCAAGGCUUGACAUUUAGUGCAUAGCAUGGAAACAUGUGAAAUGUGGAAACACACACUAGGACAGAUGAUGCAUGGUUGUCGUCAGCUCGUGUCGUGAGAUGUUGGGUUAAGUCCCGCAACGAGCGCAACCCUCGUCAAAAGUUGCCAUCAUUUAGUUGGGCACCCUUUUGAGACUGCCGUGGAUAACACGGAGGAAGGUGGGGAUGAGGUCAAAUCAUCACGUCUCUUACGUCUUGGGCUACAGUCACGCUACAAUGGUCGCCACAAAGAGAAGCAAAAUAGCAAUAUCAAGCAAAUCUCAAAAAUGCGGCCUCAGUUCAGAUUGUGGGCUGAAACUCGCCCACAUGAAGAUGGAGUUGCUAGUAAUCCCUGAUCAGCAUGCAGGGGUGAAUGCGUUCCCGGGGUUUGUACACACCGCCCGU